rnacentral:rRNA from 1 species
AAAAUGGCAUGGUUCUUAGGUAUAAGCAAUUAUACAGCGAAACUGCGAAUGGCUCAUUAUAUAAGUUAUCGUUUAUUUGAUAGUACCUUACUACUUGGAUAACCGUGGUAAUUCUAGAGCUAAUACAUGCUAAAAAUCCCGACUUCGGAAGGGAUGUAUUUAUUAGAUUAAAAACCAAUGCCCUUCGGGGCUCACUGGUGAUUCAUAAUAACUUCUCGAAUCGCAUGGCCUUGCGCCGGCGAUGGUUCAUUCAAAUUUCUUCCCUAUCAACUUUCGAUGCUAGAGUAGUGUUCUAGCAUGGUUACAACGGGUAACGGAGGGUUAGGGCUCGACCCCGGAGAAGGAGCCUGAGAAACGGCUACUACAUCCAAGGAAGGCAGCAGGCGCGCAAAUUACCCAAUCCCGACACGGGGAGGUAGUGACGAUAAAUACUGAUACAGGGCUCUUUUGGGUCUUGUAAUUGGAAUGAGUACAAUUUAAAUCCCUUAACGAGGAACAAUUGGAGGGCAAGUCUGGUGCCAGCAGCCGCGGUAAUUCCAGCUCCAAUAGCGUAUAUUAAAGUUGUUGUGGUUAAAAAGCUCGUAGUAGAACCUUGGGCCUGGCUGGCCGGUCCGCCUCACCGCGUGCACUGGUCCGGCCGGGCCUUUCCCUCUGUGGAACCGCAUGCCCUUCACUGGGUGUGCCGGGGAAACAGGACUUUUACUUUGAAAAAAUUAGAGUGCUCCAGGCAGGCCUAUGCUCGAAUACAUUAGCAUGGAAUAAUAGAAUAGGACGUGUGGUUCUAUUUUGUUGGUUUCUAGGACCGCCGUAAUGAUUAAUAGGGACAGUCGGGGGCAUCAGUAUUCAAUUGUCAGAGGUGAAAUUCUUGGAUUUAUUGAAGACUAACUACUGCGAAAGCAUUUGCCAAGGAUGUUUUCAUUUAUCAGGAACGAAAGUUAGGGGAUCGAAGACGAUCAGAUACCGUCGUAGUCUUAACCAUAAACUAUGCCGACUAGGGAUCGGACGAUGUUAUUUUUUGACUCGUUCGGCACCUUACGAGAAAUCAAAGUGCUUGCUCCAGGGGAGUAGUGCCCCAU